CGGGAGCCUUUGCACCCCUACGGGGGAGCCCAGCGACUCUAAACAAUGGGCUGCGCAGGUGGCCUAGCAGGCUGCAACACGAUCGAAUUGCGGGGACGUCCUAAAGCCUAACGGUACCAACCCCAGGGGGAAACCUCAGGGGGGCCUGCGCUAACUACGCAGGGUGGUCAGAACCCGUUGGGAUGCUACAGUGGACAAUCCGCAGCGAAGCCCCUACCGGCCUCAGGGCCUAUGGGGAGCGCUCACAGACUAGGUGAUCGUGGGGAGGGCGCUGAUUCAGCGCCCUGCCCUAAGAUAUAGUCGGGCUGCUUGGGAGACCGAGCAGGGUGUUUCGCACCGGACCGUUCCGUAGGUGAACCUGCGGAAGGAUCAUUACAGAGUUCAUGCCCUCACGGGUAGACCUCCCACCCUUGUGUAUUGAUACUAUGUUGCUUUGGCGGGCCGUCAGGCUUCGGUCAGGCCUCCGGCUUAGGCUGGGGAGCGCCCGCCAGAGGACCCCAAAACUCUGAAUGUUAGUGUCGUCUGAGUACUACUAUAUAAUAGUUAAAACUUUUAACAACGGAUCUCUUGGUUCUGGCAUCGAUGAAGAACGCAGCGAAAUGCGAUAAGUAAUGUGAAUUGCAGAAUUCAGUGAAUCAUCGAAUCUUUGAACGCACAUUGCGCCCCUUGGUAUUCCGGGGGGCAUGCCUGUUCGAGCGUCAUUUCAACCCUCAAGCACAGCUUGGUGUUGGGCCCUGCCAGCGAUGGCAGGCCCUAAAAUUAGUGGCGGUGCCGCUGAGCCCUGAGCGUAGUAAUCUCCUCGCUACAGGGCCUCUGCGUGCCUUCGCCAGAACCCCCAA
rnacentral:rRNA from 1 species